GAUCUACUCCCUCCGUCCGGAAAUACUUAUCGUAGAAAUGGGUACAAAUAGAUGUAUCUAAACCUAACAUACAUCUAGAUACAUCCAUUCCCAGGACAGGUAUUUCCGGACGGAGGGAGUAAUGU
rfam:Triticum aestivum genome assembly, contig: Triticum_aestivum_CS42_TGACv1_scaffold_577710_7BL